rnacentral:rRNA from 1 species
UUUGAUAGUCCCUNACAAUUACUAUCCGCCUGGGUACUACGAGCACUAGCUUAAAACCCAAAGGACUUGGCGGUGCUUUAAAUCCCUCUAGAGGAGCCUGUUCUAGAACCGAUAAUCCCCGUUAAACCUCACCCUCUUUUGUUCUUCCCGCCUAUAUACCGCCGUCGUCAGCUUACCCUACAAAGGACUCACAGUAAGCAAAGUCAGCAUAGCUUAAAACGCCAGGUCGAGGUGUAGCAUAUGAGAGGGGAAGAAAUGGGCUACAUUCCCUAUUACAGGGAAUACGAACAAUGCAAUGAAACGUGUAUUAGAAGGAGAAUUUAGCAGUAAGCAGGAAAAUAGAGUG